rnacentral:tRNA from 1 species
GCGAGGGUGUCAGAGUCUGGUCAAUUUGAAUCAACAACUCAAAGUUUGAGAAUAGUGUUUUUUGACCAAAUGACUACGGUUGAGGGCCGUAGGCCUUAGUGGCUGCGCGGGUUCAAAUCCCGUCCUUCGCA